UACGUAGGUGGCAAGCGUUGUCCGGAUUUAUUGGGUUUAAAGGGUGCGUAGGUGGUCUAUUAAGUCAGUGCUGAAAUAUCCCGGCUUAACCGGGAGGGUGGCAUUGAUACUGAUGGACUUGAGUAAAGUUGAGGUGGGCGGAAUUGACGGUGUAGCGGUGAAAUGCUUAGAUAUCGUCAAGAACACCUAUUGCGAAGGCAGCUCACUAAGCUUUAACUGACACUGAGGCGCGAAAGUGUGGGGAUCAAACAGG
rnacentral:rRNA from 1 species